UUGUUGAUUAUAAAAUGGUGACAGUCCCAAAUAUCUUAGUCUCCAGCAAUAACGAAGUUGAAAUACAAGAAAGAAAGUAAUCGAAGUGAUGUUUCGCUAGGUUAUACUCCUAGAGAGACAUCUAUGAUCUGUUCGACUGAUGGAGCUCCACGGGUGCGUAAGCGGAACGAGACGCCCGGCAGGGCGAUGCGCACAAGUCAUGCCGAGAUGAUGCCGCUUUCGCCACAUGCGCGGAACCAGGGCUCCGAACAGACAGCUGUUAGCUCCAAUUCACGGUACAAAAGCCGAGAAGUCUGAGACCCUCGCAACUUUCCUCCUUCUUCACAGAGUCACCGUGACAUUUUCUGUCUGAAACCCGGAGCUGCCCACCCCCACCCCGCGCUCGCCGGGGCGAAGCGCAGCGAGUGUUGAACAUGAAACACCUAAGGUUAGAUAUGCAGAAGUGCUGAGCACUCUCAACUUCACCUUAAGUCAAUGGAAGCUGUAUUUUGAGCGUGUAAUGUCCAAUUAAAAUGGUGCAUAGAAUAAGGGAUAAUCCUGCUAUAAACAGGGUUGCUAAAGAGACUAUACCUCAAAAUAUGGAAAUUUAGAAGAUGCUGAAGAGCCCGUGUUAUUUAUGGUAUGGAAAUGUACUGGGCGGUUGACUACAAUACACUGGAUAAAGAUUCAAACUAAACAUGAG